rnacentral:pre_miRNA from 1 species
ACAACAACAUUCGGACCGUCGGUCUACCGAGCAAUUACACCCGCUCGGUGGAAGAACCUCCCUCCGUCGUUAAUU